UGCGUAGGUUCGAAUCCUGCUUGGGUGUCAAUAUGUCCGAGUGGUUAAGGAGACAGACUCAAAAUCUGUUGGGCUAUGCUUGCGUAGGUUCAAAUCCUG